rnacentral:rRNA from 1 species
CGCGUAGGUGGCUUGUCAGGUCCGAUGUGAAAUCCUGGGGCUCAACUCCAGGCGUGCAUUGGAAACCGGCUUGCUAGAGUCUGGGAGAGGAGAGUGGAAUUCCUGGUGUAGCGGUGAAAUGCGUAGAUAUCAGGAGGAACACCGGUAGCGAAGGCGGCUCUCUGGAACAGUACUGACACUGAGGCGCGAAAGCUAGGGGAGCGAACA